rnacentral:sRNA from 14 species
GGAUGUGGGAACAUUCUGGUUGUGACCUGUCACCCCACUGAUGACCAGGUUGACUUAAGCUCAUCAGACUGGUUAGACUGCUGGCCCCUUCCUCCCUCACACUCCAGUGUCCCUCACAAAGCUUCAUACUCAUUCAAAGAGGACCAUCUUCCCCCACAGAUACCUAGCCCUCUUUCUUCAAUUGAUUUUUUUUUUUUUUUGUUUAUUUUAGGAGACAGCAUCUCAUUAUGUAGUCCUGGCUGUCCUGGACCUGAUAGGUAGAACAGGUU